AACGAACGCUGGCGGCAGGCCUAACACAUGCAAGUCGAACGGCAGCACAGUGGAGCUUGCUCCAUGGGUGGCGAGUGGCGGACGGGUGAGGAAUACAUCGGAAUCUGCCCAGUCGUGGGGGAUAACAUAGGGAAACUUAUGCUAAUACCGCAUACGACCUACGGGUGAAAGCGGGGGAUCGCAAGACCUCGCGCGAUUGGAUGAGCCGAUGUCCGAUUAGCUAGUUGGCGGGGUAAUGGCCCACCAAGGCGACGAUCGGUCGCUGGUCUGAGAUGAUGAUCAGCCAAACUGGAACUGAGACACGGUCCAGACUCCUACGGGAGGCAGCAGUGGGGAAUAUUGGACAAUGGGCGCAAGCCUGGUCCAGCCAUGCCGCGUGGGUGAAGAAGGCCUUCGGGUUGUAAAGCCCUUUUGUCCGGAAAGAAACGCCUCGGAUUAAUACUCUGGGGUAAUGACGGUACCGGAAGAAUAAGCACCGGCUAACUUCGUGCCAGCCGCCGCAGUAAAAC
rnacentral:rRNA from 1 species